rnacentral:misc_RNA from 1 species
AAGUCGUAACAAGGUUUCCGUAGGUGAACCUGCGGAAGGAUCAUUAGUACGUAUCCACGUAUCAACCCAAUCGUGAACUGUUUCCCGUCUGAUGAGGAUUUCUGCGAUUAGACGAAUAACACAAAUGCAUGUUGGACUGAAGGGUAGAGACGCAAGUUUCUUCUUCAGCAAAAAAGUCUAGUCGGUCCUAAUUCGUUGUCGCUUGCGACCGCGAGUUAGCUCAACAGAUGUGGUUUUCUCCAAUCAUGCGAACAAUUAACCCCUUGUACAAACAAAUUGAACUAAACAAUCGCUACCUGAUAAAAAGGGUGGUGAACAACUGAAAUUAAGAAACAACUCUUAACAACGGAUAUCUUGGUUCUC